UCCGGCUUAUCACCGGCAGUUUCUUUAGAGUGCUCAACUAAAUGGUAGCAACUAAAGACGAGGGUUGCGCUCGUUGCGGGACUUAACCCAACAUCUCACGACACGAGCUGACGACGGCCAUGCAGCACCUGUCACUUGGCUCCCGAGGGCACCCCACCGUUUCCGGCGGGUUCCAAGGAUGUCAAGCCUGGGUAAGGUUCUACGCGUAGCGUCAUAUUAAACCACAUCAUCCUCUGCUUGUGCGGGUCCCCGUCAAUUCCUUUGAGUUUUAGCCUUGCGGCCGUACUUCCCAGGCGGCAUACUUAUCGCGUUAGCUUCGUCUCACAGGGGGUCGAUACCCCAUAAGACUAGUACGCAUCGUUUACGGCGUGGACUAC
rnacentral:misc_RNA from 1 species